rnacentral:rRNA from 1 species
UACGUAGGGGGCGAGCGUUGCCCGAAUUUACUGGGCGUAAAGCGCACGUAGGCGGCUCCGUAAGUCUGGUGUGAAAUCUCACGGCUCAACCGCGAGGCUGCACCAGAUACUGCGGGGCUCGAGGACGGGAGAGGAGAUUGGAAUUCCCGGUGUAGCGGUGAAAUGCGUAGAGAUCGGCAGGAAGACCAAGGGGGAAGCCAGGGGGCUGGCCGCAUGCUGACGCUGAGGCGCGACAGCGUGGGGAGCAAACCGG